AUGAUUCCAAAUUAUCCCCAGUUUCAGAGAGCUCCCUCCAUAGUGUCCAUGGCGUCCUCAUCAUCGACCAGCCAGAGAAACCCACCCCGGGAGCGGUUGUCGCUCAUCCCAUGCCUGUACUGCCAUGAUAGGAUGAUGACCUUCAUCUGUGUUCCAACUGGAUCUAGGCCCGGCGACCGUUUCUACAAAUGUAUUCGGAAAGAUUCCGGAGGGGUACGCGAGGUACCUGACGACCGAUCGAGCUAUGGAUGUGGUCCAACUUCAGAUCCAGGAUGGAGUUCGUCCAGUUGCAGCCUCGGCGGUGGAAUAGCACAUCGGCGCAAUCAUAGCCAUGGUGACAAAUCUGCUCAGAGGGUGUGCAAUGAAGAAAAGAUUUAG
rnacentral:rRNA from 1 species